rnacentral:rRNA from 1 species
CAGGCUUAACACAUGCAAGUCGAACGGUAACAGAGAAGAGCUUGCUCUUUUGCUGACGAGUGGCGCACGGGUGCGUAACGCGUAUACAAUCUACCUUUUACAGGGGGAUAGCCUUUAGAAAUGAAGAAUAAUACCCCAUAGUAAGUAUUUAUGGCAUCAUAAGAACUUUAAAGUUUCGACGGUAAAAGAUGAGUAUGCGUUCUAUUAGCUAGAUGGUGUGGUAACGGCACACCAUGGCAACGAUAGAUAGGGGCCCUGAGAGGGGGAUCCCCCACACUGGUACUGAGACACGGACCAGACUCCUACGGGAGGCAGCAG